rnacentral:rRNA from 1 species
AAGACCCAGCAAGACGCAUGCGUAGAGAGGAGCCCGCCACACAUUAAUUAGUUGGUGGGGUAAAAGCCUACCAAGACGAUGAUGUGUAGCCGGGCUGAGAGGUCGAACGGCCACAUUGGGACUGAGACACGGCCCAAACUCCUACGGGAGGCAGCAGUAAGGAAUUUUCGGCAAUGGAGGAAACUCUGACCGAGCAACGCCGCGUGAACGAUGAAGUAUUUCGGUACGUAAAGUUCUUUUAUUAGGGAAGAAAAGAUGGUGGAAAAACCAUUAUGACGGUACCUAGUGAAUAAGCCCCGGCUAACUAUGUGCCAGCAGCCGCGGUAAUACAUAGGGGGCAAGCGUUAUCCGGAAUUAUUGGGCGUAAAGGGUGCGUAGGCGGUUAAAUAAGUUUAUGGUCUAAGUGCAAUGCUUAACGUUGUGAUGCUAUAAAAACUGUUUAGCUAGAGUUGGAUAGAGGCAAGUGGAAUUCCAUGUGUAGUGGUAAAAUGCGUAAAUAUAUGGAGGAACACCAGAAGCGAAGGCGGCUUGCUGGGUCUUAACUGACGCUGAGGCACGAAAGCGUGGGGAGCAAACAGGAUUAGAUACCCUGGUAGUCCACGCCCUAAACGAUGAGUACUAAACGUUGGGUAAAACCAGUGUUGAAGUUAACACAUUAAGUACUCCGCCUGAGUAGUACGUACGCAAGUAUGAAACUUAAAGGAAUUGACGGGACUCCGCACAAGCGGUGGGAUCAUGUUGUUUAAUUCGAAGGGUACCCGGAAAAACCCUCACCAGGGUCUUGACAUGCUUUUUGCAAAGCUGUAGAAAAUACAGUGGGAAGGUUAUUCAUUUGCACAGGUUGGGUGCCAAUGAUUGUCGUCAGGCUCGUGUUCGUGGAGAUGGUUGGGUUAAGUCCCGCCAAAACGAGAGGCGCGCCAUA